rnacentral:tRNA from 1 species
GGGGAUUUGGCUCAGUGGUAGAGCGCUUGCCUAGCAAGCGCGAGGCCCUGGGUUCAGUCCCCAGCUCCG